GACGAACGCUGGCGGCGUGCUUAACACAUGCAAGUCGAACGGAAAGGCCCUGCUUUUGUGGGGUGAUGGAGUGGCGAACGGGUGAGUAACACGUGAGUAACCUGCCCUUGACUUUGGGAUAACUUAAGGAAACUGGGGCUAAUACAGGAUAGGAGCUCAUGUUGCAUGGUGGGGGUUGGAUAGUUUCGGCGGUUGGGGAUGGACUCGCGGCUUAUCAGUUUGUUGGUGGGGUAGUGGCUUACCAAGGCUUUGACGGGUAGCCGGCCUGAGAGGGUGACCGGCCACAUUGGGACUGAGAUACGGCCCAGACUCCUACGGGAGGCAGCAGUGGGGAAUAUUGCACAAUGGGCGGAAGCCUGAUGCAGCAACGCCGCGUGCGGGAUGACGGCCUUCGGGUUGUAAACCGCUUUCGCCUGUGACGAAGCGUGAGUGACGGUAAUGGGUAAAGAAGCACCGGCUAACUACGUG
rnacentral:rRNA from 1 species